GAAUGCAGCUGCUCGGCUUUUUUUAAACUCAAACUUGUAUGCUUCUCCAGCAGAUGAUUGCUAAUACUGCUAUGGCUGGACAAGCCUCGUUCUAAUUUUUUGAGUUACCAAUAAAAUGUUUUUGCCAAGCUGCCUUCUUUGAGGAGGAGAGGGGCUUGAUGAUGCCUCACCCAGCUGGGCAGAGCGGGGUGCUAUAUGACUGAUCAUUUCCAGAGAAGAUGAUGACAUUGGAAGGAGACAAUUACCCGCCUCUAGUCCUGACCCUUCACUCAAGCCCCAGGGCUGCCUCAAACAAUCCAUGGCCAUGGCACCUUCAGCCUCUCAUUUGCAUCACUGUCAGAGCUGUCCAGUCACCCUGGGAGGCUUUAUGCUUCUGCCAGAGGUACAUCAUUCCCCAGGAUGGUGCCAGGCCUGCCUUUGCAACCAACCUCUGCUUUGAAUUCUCUACCUGUGGCAAGUCUUCCUCCUUUUGGAAACAACUAGAAGUUACCAAGGAUGAUGAGCAAGUUGGACAAUCAAAUUAGGAAAGAAGUCAGAAAUGAGAUCAAAAUAUGUAUCUGUGGCGUAAGAGACUUUUGGUUCCUCCAAAAACAAGCCUGCUAUGACAGAAGACAAAGUCUGUAGGAAAAAUCACAGCCCACUGGGGAUUAUAUCUGUUCUUGUUUCUCUUAACGUGUAGUAGCUAUAAAGUAAACAUUAAACAUCUGAAUUAACAUUAAACCCA